UGCUUCGGUAACUUAGCUAGCGGCGGACGGGUGAGUAAUGCUUAGGAAUCUGCCUAUUAGUGGGGGACAACAUUCCGAAAGGGAUGCUAAUACCGCAUACGUCCUACGGGAGAAAGCAGGGGCUCUUUAUGACCUUGCGCUAAUAGAUGAGCCUAAGUCGGAUUAGCUAGUUGGUGGGGUAAAGGCCUACCAAGGCGACGAUCUGUAGCGGGUCUGAGAGGAUGAUCCGCCACACUGGGACUGAGACACGGCCCAGACUCCUACGGGAGGCAGCAGUGGGGAAUAUUGGACAAUGGGGGGAACCCUGAUCCAGCCAUGCCGCGUGUGUGAAGAAGGCCUUUUGGUUGUAAAGCACUUUAAGUGGGGAGGAGGCUUACCUGGUUAAUACCUGGGCUAAGUGGACGUUACCCACAGAAUAAGCACCGGCUAACUCUGUGCCAGCAGCCGCGGUAAUACAGAGGGUGCGAGCGUUAAUCGGAUUUACUGGGCGUAAAGCGCGCGUAGGUGGUUAAUUAAGUCAAAUGUGAAAUCCCCGAGCUUAACUUGGGAAUUGCAUUCGAUACUGGUU
rnacentral:rRNA from 1 species